GUGGGGAAUAUUGCACAAUGGGCGAAAGCCUGAUGCAGCAACGCCGCGUGAGGGAUGACGGCCUUCGGGUUGUAAACCUCUUUUAGUAGGGAAGAAGCGAAAGUGACGGUACCUGCAGAAAAAGCACCGGCUAACUACGUGCCAGCAGCCGCGGUAAUACGUAGGGUGCAAGCGUUGUCCGGAAUUAUUGGGCGUAAAGAGCUCGUAGGCGGUUUGUCGCGUCUGCUGUGAAAUCCCGAGGCUCAACCUCGGGCUUGCAGUGGGUACGGGCAGACUAGAGUGCGGUAGGGGAGAUUGGAAUUCCUGGUGUAGCGGUGGAAUGCGCAGAUAUCAGGAGGAACACCGAUGGCGAAGGCAGAUCUCUGGGCCGUAACUGACGCUGAGGAGCGAAAGCGUGGGGAGCGAACAGGAUUAGAAACCCCGGUAGUCC
rnacentral:rRNA from 1 species